rnacentral:rRNA from 1 species
GACAGAGGGUGCAAACGUUGUUCGGAAUUACUGGGCGUAAAGCGCGUGUAGGCGGCUAAGUAAGUCGGGCGUGAAAUCCCACGGCUCAACCGUGGAAGUGCACUCGAAACUGCAUAGCUAGAGUCCUGGAGAGGAAGGUGGAAUGCUUGGUGUAGAGGUGAAAUUCGUAGAUAUCAAGCGGAACACCGGUGGCGAAGGCGGCCUUCUGGACAGUGACUGACGCUGAGACGCGAAAGCGUGGGGAGCAAACAGGG